rnacentral:rRNA from 1 species
AUACGUAGGUGACAAGCGUUAUCCGGAUUUACUGGGCGUAAAGGGCGUGUAGGCGGUCUUGCAAGUCAGAAGUGAAAUUCCUGAGCUCAACUCGGGCGCUGCUUCUGAAACUGCAGGACUUGAGUGCUGGAGGGGAUAGCGGAAUUCCUAGUGGAGCGGUAAAAUGCGCAGAUAUUAGGAAGAACACCGGUGGCGAAGGCGGCUAUCUGGACAGUAACUGACGCUGAGGCGCGAAAGCGUGGGGAGCAAACAGGAUUAGAUACCCUGGUAGCCCACGCCGUAAACGAUGAAUACUAGGUGUAGGGGGUAUCGACUCCCUCUGUGCCGCAGUUAACACAAUAAGUAUUCCACCUGGGGAGUACGUUCGCAAGAAUGAAACUCAAAGGAAUUGACGGGG